rnacentral:rRNA from 1 species
UACGUAGGGUGCGAGCGUUAAUCGGAAUUACUGGGCGUAAAGUGUGCGCAGGCGGCCAUGCAAGUCGAGUGUGAAAGCCCCGGGCUUAACUUGGGAAUUGCGCUCGAAACUACGUGGCUGGAGUGUGGCAGAGGAAGGUGGAAUUCCACGUGUAGCGGUGAAAUGCGUAGAGAUGUGGAGGAACACCAAUGGCGAAGGCAGCCCCCUGGGCCAACACUGACGCUCAUGCACGAAAGCGUGGGGAGCAAACAGG